rnacentral:rRNA from 1 species
GAGUAAUGUCUGGGAAACUGCCUGAUGGAGGGGGAUAACUACUGGAAACGGUAGCUAAUACCGCAUAAUGUCGCAAGACCAAAGAGGGGGACCUUCGGGCCUCUUGCCAUCGGAUGUGCCCAGAUGGGAUUAGCUUGUUGGCGGGGUAACGGCUCACCAAGGCGACGAUCCCUAGCUGGUCUGAGAGGAUGACCAGCCACACUGGAACUGAGACACGGUCCAGACUCCUACGG